UAUUACCGAAUGCAUAUUAUUACUUUAAUUGGUAGAAAUAAUAGGACAAAUAGUAAUUACCUUGCCUAAGGAAGUUUUGUUGUUUGUCCUUUUUUUUUUGAACAUCAGUACAAACACAAGUGCUCAUAUACACGCCCAUAUACUCACCCCUAUGAACGCACAUCCUACCCCUAUGAGCACCUCCGAAAGACUGAAAGACUGAGCUGGGAACGUCUCCUCUCACUGAAAGCGCAUCGCCGGAAAUCCUGAAAUAAAUUCAGAAAUAAAUGCGAGCAUCAGGAUUUGAACACCAUUGCCGAAAAUCCUGAAAUAAAUUCAAAAAUAAAUGCGAGCAUCAGGAUUUGAACUAUGGUGGGUUGUGGAUACCAGAGUCCCUCUAACCAUCCAACCACAGGUUGGUCCGCGUUGUUUGUCCUUUUGAUCCUCGUGAUUAAUGUGUACCAUAUAAUUCUUGUCGCAUAAAUAGUAGGACCGGUACAUCUCAAUUGCUGCAAAUUUUGUUAAUUUUUUAUUGGAUACUUUUUAUUGUAGGGUAAUUUUUUAACGUAUAUUUGACGUUGAAGGAAUGGUAUAUGUGGAAAGGUUCGGAUGAUUAGCAACAAAACCGAAUGAAUGCGAGUGCGAUUGAGAGACUUGUAUGCACGUGUUAUUCUUAGGCAAUUUUAGACAUGCAUGUAUACUCCCUCUGUUUCGAAAUAUUUGUUUUUCUGGAGAUUUCAACAAGUGACUAUGUACGGAGCAAAAUGAGUGAAUCUACUCUCUAAAAUAUGUCUACAUACAUUCGUAUGUUGUGUCCAUUUAAAAUGCCUAGAAAGACAAAUAUUUGGGAACGGAGGGAGUAUAAGUCUUUUUAGUUAUUUCACUAUAGACUGCAUACGGAGCAAAAUGGAUGAAUCUACACUUUAAAAUAUGUCUAUAUACAUUUGUAUGUAGUUUGUAUUCAAAUUCUAGAAAGAUUUAUAUUUAGAAACGGAGGGAGUAUAAAACAAAAGGACGCCGAUAACUGCCACACGUGUGGUAUAUUCGACAUGCGCCCACACACCGUGUGUGGUGUGAGCAGGAGGCAGCCCACACAAGCUGUGUGUGGGAGGAUAUUAGAAUUGCCCGCACGUGUGGACGCGGCUACUUCGUGCCACACGCCACAAGUACUACUCAUCUCCACCCCGCGCGUGUGGCACGAAGCAAAAUGCCCACACGUCCUGGCGCAACUACGUCAGAUACAUCAUGGGAUGAUGAUUUAGUUGCCAUCCUGAUUGGCAGAUGCAGUUGUCCGAGAUGGCAAGUGUAGUUGUAAAAGCAUGGCAACUCUAUCUGUUUUGGUUAACUAUAGUUGCCAUGUCUAAUUUAUGGUAGUUGUCGCGUGUAAUCAAACUGUAGUUGUCGUGUGUGAUUAAUUACUUGCCACAUAUGGUCAAACAGUAGUUGCCAUGUGUGUUUAUCUAGUUGCCACGUGUGGUCCAACCAUAGUUGCCGUGUGUGAUUAACUACUUGGCACAUAUGGUCAAACAGUAGUUGCCAUGUGUGUUACCUAAUUAUCAUGUGUGGUCCAACCAUAGUUGCCAUGUGUGUUUAUCUGGUUGCCACGUACGCGCAACUGCAGUCGCCGUCUAGCAAAAAAUCACAGUUGCCAUCUGUGUUUAUCUAGUUGCCAUUCGUCUAACUGCAAUUGCAUCCACAACGUAGGAGUGUUGCAUGGAUGAAAAGUAGUUCGCCCACACGCGAAUGAACUAGAUGGCUGGCUGUGUGGGCAGAAACUAGUUCGCCCACACAUCGCAACUGGCAAAUAGUGUGGUGCUAGCGUGUGGGCAAACUCUCCAACGCCCACACACCAACCCCGUCCUAUGUGGCACACAAAAUCAACUUUUUCGUACCAAGAUUCGUGCAAAAGGCACUGGACGACGAUCGAGGCGUGUGGGCGAGUUGGGUAACGCCCACACGUGUGGGCGUUAGUGUUUCUGAAACAAAAUUGAUGAUGUCAGCAAAGAUCUAUCAAAAUGUUUUAUAGCUUAAGCUCUCGGUUCGAUUCAAAACAGUUUUCACAUAAAAUAUUUGUCGUCACCUUUGAAACUAGAUCGCAUGUUGAUAUAUUUUGACAACUUUUUUGGGGUAAAAAGCUAUCACGGACGUCACCCAUCGAUCACGGACAUCACCGCAUCCAUCAAGGAAGAUGCGCGGAACUGGGCCAAGGCUGGGGCCAAGGGCUUGCUUAGAAUCCUUCCGAUGUACUCCCUUCGUCCGAAAAUACUUGUCGCAGAAAUGCAUAAAAAUGAAUAUAUAUAACUAAAAAAAUCUAGAUACAUACAUUUCUCCAACAAGUAUUUCCAAACGGAGGGAGUAAUUCUCUUACGUAAUGUCGAGGGCUGACCAACCCCUCUAGCUGUUCUGUUCACGGUUGCUCCCUUGAUCUCUUCGUGUACGUGGGUUGUAAGGGUAUAAUUGUGUUUUGUUUUUCUGUUUUCUAUCUAUCAAUGCAAUGAUAUGGAAGGGGAGCCUUGGCGCAGUGGUAAAGCUGCUGCCUUGUGACCAUGAGGUCAUGGGUUCAAGUCCUGGAAACAGCCUCUUACAGAAAUGUAGGAAAAGGCUGCGUACUUAAGACCCAAAGUGGUCGGACCCUUCCCUGGAUCCUGCGCAAACGGGAGCUACAUGCACCAGGUUGCCCUUUAAUACAAUGAUACGCAAGCUCUUGUGUAUUCAUGAAAAGAAGAGGAGUAAGCUAUGCCUAUGCUUAGUUCACUAUUUUUCUGUUCGCUAACAAAUCGUGCUGGUGCAUUCAAAUAUGGAAGCUACUAACAAUAGGAAUAUAUUGAACCGCAGCUUAUAGAAAAAAAAAGGAAACCAUGGGCUUGUUAUCAUGUUUGGGUCUGCUGGUAUAUUUUGCUGACUUGUCCGUCUGGAACAAACAGGAUGCGCCGGAAUUCUGGAUCACAAAGCAAGAGUAUCAGGAAGAAGGUGUUACCUGCCUAAGGAAGUGUGGACAAGCAUAACCAUGUACUCUCUUCAUAUCAAAAUAAGUGUCUCAACCUUAAUGCAAGUUUGUACUCCCUUCGUUUAAAAAUACUUGUCAUCAAAAUUGAUAAAAAGAGAUGUAUUUAGAACUAAAAUACCUCUAGAUACAUCCCCUUUUAUCUAGUUUGAUGACAAGUAUUUUCGGAUGAAGGGAGUACUAAAGUUAAUACAAAGUUUUUUUUGAACUUAAAGUUAGUACAAAGUUGAGACACUUAUUUGAAAGGAAGGAAGUACAAUGUACAAUCGCCCACCCUUGUUAUUACCGAAUGCAUAUUAUUACUUUAAUUGGUAGAAAUAAUAGGACAAAUAGUAAUUACCUUUCCUAAGGAAGUUUUGUUGUUUGUCCUUUUGAUCCUCGUGAUUAAUAUGUGUAUCAUAUAAUUCUUGUCGCACAAAUAGUAGGAACAGUACAUCUCGGUUGACCGCACCAAUCGACAGAUGCUGCACAUUUUGUUAAUUUUCUAUUGGAUAUUUUUUUUUGUGGGGUAAUUUUUUACCGCAUACUUGACGUUAAAAGAAUGUGAUAUGUGGAAAGGUUCGAUAGCAACAAAACCGAAUGAAUGCAUGCAUGCAAGUGCAGCUGAGAGACUUGCAUGCAUCGUGUUAUUCUUAGGCAUUUUUAAAUAAAAUCUUUACUGACAUUAUCAAUUUUGUUUUAUACACAUGCCUGCCCUCAAUUGGUCAUGGCAGCUUUUGCUCCGUAGCGCGCACCAUCA
rnacentral:lncRNA from 1 species